rnacentral:lncRNA from 10 species
CUUGGAUGGCAGUCAUUCACUAAGACAAAAAAAAAAGUAAUAAACAUAAAUGAGAUAAGUAGAUCUGGAGAAUAAACUAAUUUGAUUUUGGACACAUUAAGUUUAAAAGAAAAAAAGAGAAAGAACUGGCAAGAAAAAAGAAAGAAAGAAAAAAAAAAUCUUGUGGGAGUCCUUAAUCUUUAUUCUGGCAACAGUUUUUAACCGGACAGCUGGAGCUGGGUGCUUGACUCUUCUGCCUUGCGAAUGUCCUGUCCACCCUGCCCAAGCCCUGGGAAGGCAGAACCGGCCUCUGCCGAGCUUGGCCUUCAGACACCUCCUCCGAGGCACGGCGUUCACUGUGAGCUUGUGGACAGUUCUUGUGAGCUCGAGCUAUAAGGAAGCUCCUUAAAUGACUUUUAAGCCUCUACUCAAGCCUUCCAAAUCUUACCACCCUUAAAAAUCGAGCUGAAGAUCCAGGUCACAGUUCCCAACUUCCUUCUGGUUCAUGGUGUGAUUUUUCCUCCUCUUACACACAAGAAUGCAUCAGCUACUCAUGUGAAUAUGGGCCCUGCUACACCUCAGGAAGUAGAAUUCAAUGACUGAACAUGACAUUUUCAGAGAGUACAGGAGGUGAGUCUGCUAGGCUGGAAUUCCCACUGCAAUGAUGAGUGAUGAUUGUUACUAUGACUGGACUGAGGCCAUGCUGCACCCUGGAAUGAUCCCUUAUGAUUUCAGAGGCUUGCCGAAUAUCAGGUGCCGGUGAGCAGGAGGAGUAGGAGAAGGCGGAAGAGAAAGAGGAGGAGGCAGAGGACGAAACAAAAGAAAGAAGCAGUCUACAAACAUAAAAGAGUACAAGGAAGAUGAGAAACGCAAAGGUUUUGGAUACCAUACUCCCCUGCUCUAAGAUACACUUUUCAUUUUCACAUCUGAAGAUCCCCGUCACCAGGAUUCAUCUCACAACUGAUGGCGCCCUCCCUCAGCUGUCAGCGCGAACUUUCACGACUCGAGUUCCUUGAAAACAAACCACACAUCCCUUCAUCUCUGCACCCCCUCCAGAGCCUUGCAGUCUUCACUGUCAUCACAUUCAAGCACAUGCUGCAUAAAGGAAGGAAGCGGGAAUGGAAUGGACAGGUAGCAUGCUGUGAAUAUAAAGACACUCAGUGGAUUCCUGGCCACUUGGACAGUGGAAGGGGAUUUUCUCAGAGCCACCAAAACCAAUAUUCUAGGCUCACCUAACAUAAUGUAACUGAGAAUUCUUGGUUCUAAUUUGAGGCACCUGAUACAUAAAGGAAGGCGCAUAGGAUGGAGGCCCCAGAGACCGUAUUUAUUACUCAAUGGGGCAGGAAAUUGGGAGAAGGCUCUGGUGUCCAGGAGAAGAGUUCAGGCCAGUGGAUUAAGCCCCAUCAUGAGCCAGGAACUGAGCUAGUCCUGGCUGAAAAUGCAACCACAGCACACACUUCUGCUCUCAAGGGGCUUAGGGUUCGGCGGGGGAGAGACUUACAUAAUACACAUGUGAGACAGUCACAAGUGCGAGAAGCCAUGUCUGCUCAUUUGUGCUUGUCAAGAUAAUUUCACACAGUCCCUGAAUCUGUGAGGCCAUGCAGCUCUUUGGGAAGAUGCUUUGAAGACAAAACAGGAUGGACCACAUGGCUCCCACACCACUUGCCUGAGUCACUAUGCUCCUUAAAAGAUGAAUGACCCUAGCCUUGACUUUUCCUACACAGAAGAUAACGUUUGACAGGGUUAGUGACUAUGCCUCUGUAAUUCAUUACUAAAUGCAUUUUAGUCAUCUAUAACCAGAUAUACUCUGGCACCCAGACUUUGACGUGAUUUUGCACGUACUGAACCUUCACCACCCGUCCAUAAACUGUGAGCUGAAACACCACAUUGGAGCCUCUGAUGGAACUGCUCCCGGGCUGUAGACCUCCAUCUACAGUCUUCGGUAAGGCUUCUGAAUAAAACUAACUUUAAUUCUUUAAAAGUUUGAUUUGUU